rnacentral:rRNA from 1 species
UGGCGGACGGGUGAGUAAUGUCUGGGAAACUGCCUGAUGGAGGGGGAUAACUACUGGAAACGGUAGCUAAUACCGCAUAACGUCGCAAGACCAAAGAGGGGGACCUUCGGGGCCUCUUGCCAUCGGAUGUGCCCAGAUGGGAUUAGCUAGUAGGUGGGGUAACGGCUCACCUAGGCGACGAUCCCUAGCUGGUCUGAGAGGAUGACCAGCCACACUGGAACUGAGACACGGUCCAG